CCCUGGUGGCUCAGACGGUAAAGCGUCUGCCUGCAAUGCGGGAGACCCGGGUUUGAUACCUGGCUCAGGAA
rfam:Ovis aries breed Texel chromosome 5, whole genome shotgun sequence.